AGCGAACGUUAGCGGCGGGCCUAACACAUGCAAGUCGAGCGAGAAAGGGGCUUCGGCCCUGAGUAAAGCGGCGGACGGGUGAGUAACACGUAGGUAAUCUUCCCUUGAGCGGGGGACAACGGUCCGAAAGGACCGCUAAUACCGCAUACGUUCCCAGUGACCCUGGUCGCUGGGAGGAAAGCUAGGCCGCAAGGUCCGGCACUCGAGGAGGAGCCUGCGUCGCAUCAGCUAGUUGGUGGGGUAACGGCCUACCAAGGCGAAGACGCGUAGCUGGUCUGAGAGGAUGAUCAGCCACACUGGGACUGAGACACGGCCCAGACUCCUACGGGAGGCAGCAGUGGGGAAUAUUGGACAAUGGGCGCAAGCCUGAUCCAGCCACGCCGCGUGAGUGAUGAAGGCCUUCGGGUCGUAAAGCUCUGUGGGGAGGGACGAACCGCUGCAGGUUCAUAUCCUGCAGCAUGACGGUACCUCCUUAGCAAGCACCGGCUAACUUCGUGC
rnacentral:rRNA from 1 species